rnacentral:rRNA from 1 species
ACGCUCGACACCUACGGGUGGCAGCAGUGGGGAAUAUUGCACAAUGGGGGAAACCCUGAUGCAGCAACGCCGCGUGAAGGAAGACGGUUUUCGGAUUGUAAACUUCUGUUCUUAGUGAAGAUAGUGACGGUAGCUAAGGAGCAAGCCACGGCUAACUACGUGCCCGCAGCCGCGGUAAUCUGAGCGGGCUGGCAAGGC